ACCCUCAUAAACACCGAGCACAAGAGCACAAGACUGAGAAAGGGGCGUAUGGACGAGAGUGGGCGGUGGAAGCGUAAGGGAAGAGGAAACGAGGGGUGAGAGUGGGUACCAACGGCUUUGCUCGGCGUUACAAUAUCAGUAGAGAGCUAUAGUCGGGUGGAAACUGGUUGCCACGGUGUGGACGAAGAAGGCAGAGGAAGGAGUAUAUACGGAGUAGAAGCGAGCAAGGAAGGAAUAAGAGAGGAGAGCGGCUUGUGUAUAGAGUAAGGGAGUAAGCAAUGUUACUUAGGAAUUUGUUGCAUCCAUAGAACCAGCAAGGUGCAACGAUUUCGGCGAAGCCGAUCAAUAGGAUCGCCCAUGAGGCGGUAUGCCAGUCCAUCAGUUUGAACAAGUAGAUACCGCCGUCGAACACCAUCGGAAUCGCUAGAAGCCAGCAGCGCUUUCAGGCUCGCAGGAUUAAAUGAUGUGAUGCUGGUGAUGUAAAAUCGCUCGCCUACUUACCUGACUACCGAGGCCGAGUAUGAAGAGCAUGAAGAAGAAUAGAAUGGCCCAGAGAUUCGGCAACGGCAUUUGCACCACUGCCUCUGGAUAAGCGAUAAAAGCCAAUCCCUCUGCGCC